rnacentral:rRNA from 1 species
ACGUAGGGGGCAAGCGUUAUCCGGAUUUACUGGGUGUAAAGGGAGCGUAGACGGAAGUGCAAGUCUGGUGUGAAAGCCCGAGGCUCAACCUCGAGACUGCUCUGGAAACUGUGCAGCUAGAGUGCAGGAGAGGUAAGUGGAAUCCCUAGUGUAGCGGUGAAAUGCGUAGAUAUUAGGAGGAACACCAGUGGCGAAGGCGGCUUACUGGACUGUAACUGACGCUGAGGCUCGAAAGCGUGGGGAGCAAACAG